rnacentral:rRNA from 1 species
GACGAACGCUGGCGGCGUGCUUAACACAUGCAAGUCGAACGGAAAGGCCCUGCUUUUGUGGGGUUCUCGAGUGGCGAACGGGUGAGUAACACGUGAGUAACCUGCCCUUGUCUUUGUGAUAACUUCAGGAAACUGGGGCUAAUACCGGAGAGGAUCUCCUGCUGCAUGGUGUUGGUUGGAAAGUUUCGGCGGUUGUGGAUGGACUCGCGGCUUAUCAGCUUGUUGGUGUGGUAGUUGCUGACCAAGGGUUUGACGGGUAGCCGGCAUGAGAGGGUGAACGGCCACAUUGGGACUGAGAGAGGGACCAGAAUCCUAUGGGAGGCAGUAGUGGGGAACAUUGCACAAUGGGGGGAAGCCUGAUGCAGAAAUGCCGCGAGCGGGAUGCCGGGUUACGGGUUGUAAACAGCUUUGGAAUGUGACGAAGAGUGAGUGACGGUAACGGGUAAAGAAGCACCGGCUAACUACGUG